GGGCUUAUUUUUAUAUUUUGGCUAUACCAACUUACUCAUUGGCGACUGCUACCUACUCACAACUCACAAGUUUGACUUCAACUCCGGCGACCGGCGACGCUACUCCGGCGACUCCCCCUACUCCGGUAAGUCUUGAUUUCUAUUUUUUUUCUUCUUUCUUCUUCUUCUUCUUCUUCUUAAUCCGGCGGCUGAACAUUGGCAUGCUGUUUUUUUUCUUUCCACCUUUUCUCUUCUUCCUCUUCUUCUAUUCUGUAAUAGUGAUACAGUGUUACAACACACUAUCACUGACUCACUAUAACAGACUAAUAGUAAGCUGUAAGCACUGCAUAUAUUUAUCAUGUAAUUUAUUUUUAAUAACUUAUAUAACAUAGUAUGACAAGGGAAAAGCGACAAGUUCAAGUUAGACUCGGGCCCUAGUUGAUGAAGAAUCCGAAGCGGAAGAAGAUGAGGGGCAAUAUAAUGAAAUGCAUGUUGGAAUUAAAGAUUACGCAAAUCUUGAAGAAGAAUAAAUUUAAAGUUUUAGUAUUGCUUGUUUUAUGAAUAUUGGAUUGUUGAGUCAUUCAAGUUCUAGACUUUUAGUAUCUAUCUACUAUUUAUUUUUAAUUCUUGAUUUGAAAUAUUUCCUAAUAUAUUAGUGCUAUUGAAAUUUUGAUCAUUUAUAUAUUAUUUAAAUUUUUUCGUAUUAAUUGUCACCACACAUUCAAAAGGCGAUCGCCUCGCCGUGCGGCGAGGCGAGGCCUUGUCGCCUUUCGCCGUCCAAAACAUUGGUCGAUAGUAGGGACUGGCCGAUUGUGGUUGAUGAUGGCGGUGGUGGUGGCACCAUUGGCGAUGGUGGUGGUGGUGGAUAUAAUUAGAAUACUGGAGGUGGUAGGUCCGGUACUGGUUAACAAUAGUGGUUGGUAGCGAUAUUUGUUGCCAAUGGUGGUUGUGAUGGUGGAGGUGGUUGGUGAUUGGUGGUGGUGGGUGGUGGUUGACAAUGGUCGCGGUGGCAGAGGUGGUUAGUGGUAGUGAUUGAUGAUUAUGGAUAAAGUGGUGGUGAAUAUUAUCCAACACAAGAAUACCUCUUAAUGAUAUUAAGACUUGGUUCUGGAUCCGAAUGACUAAGACCUAUUCAGAUCUAUUAAGAGCUAAAAUCUUAAUAAAAAACAAACGCACUUAAUGAUCUGAAGUCUGAACCAUUUAGAUUAAGACCUCAAUUAAGUGCAAACAAAUGAGGCCCUAGUGACCUGAGGUAACUCACAUGUACUAAACUGUUCUCAACCAUCCUAUUCCUUUUUCUCCAAAGUCCAAACUACCCACAUAAUAGCUAGUGGAACUACAUUUGGGUCUUCUCCUCCAUCUUCUGAAAGCCCAGCUAUACAUUGCUUCCUACUGUUCUCUGCAUAACCCAAUGUACUCCAAACCAGUUCCAGACCUCCCACCACACCACAGGCGUGUAGCUACUUGGCAAUGUAAUAGUACGUAUUAACGUAAUUUUCAAAUAUCUGAAAUUAACUUCCGGUAAUUUUCAUUGAGGCUGUAACUUUAUUCUGUAUGUAUGAGGUAUUGAGUAGUAUCAAUUAUGUAAUGAAGUAUAUGAACAUGUCUUUAUGUACACUAACAAGUGCUUUAGCAUAAAAAUGUAUGCCCUCUUACAUGCUUAAUGCAGAAUAAUAUUUGAAAUGAAAUAAGUAAUUAAAUAUGGGAACGUCCUAACUAUAUGGGCAUUUCUGUGGACAAAGAGCUAAUUUGGUGAAUACAUUUCUACCUUAGAUGCCCUCUGACUCAUAAAAGCUGACAAGUUAAUAUUACCUUAACCAAACCUCGACAAAAAAGCAUUUCUACGACUUCCUUGACAAUUGGGAGGAGUCCUGCAUGAUGCACAGCAAUGCCCCUGUGGAGAAGGCUUUGAAUUCUGACAAUCUGUAGAUUAGAUGACAAUCAAUAAGACACUGUACUGGAAUUAAGCAGGGCACCAAGAACCAGAAGGUCAACUAGAUAAACAAAUGCAGCAAAUUAGGUACCUGUGGUAAGUUUCUGUCAGAUCCCUUAAGCCUCGAAAAUGCUUUAUCACAGAACGUCCUAAUUUCACUUUUUUCAGACCUACUUGUGAGAUCAGUACCAAGGAUGUUAUCAGCCGAUUUGUCACAUCGAUUCUUAGAAAAACAAAAUAUAACCACCUGAAAUUAUAAUUUCAUGACAAAUAUUAGGCUUUAUAUACAUGAAAUAAGUCUACUAUCAACCUGUAAACGAAAAUGGUACUAUUAAACUUCUUUAAAGAAAAGAAAAGAUAAGAAACAAAACAGCCGACUAGCUAUCAAGAGACUAAAUACCAACAGCAAAACUCUGCUACAUGGUGUUUUCUUCGGAACAUGCUAAUAGGAAUGCUAACUAUACUGUACGCACUUGGUAGGAGGAAGAUAUACAAGGAGCUAUGCAUGUUAAAAAAAAGAUUCUUUUUCUACAUACAGGUAACAGCGAUUUCUUCAAGAGCUUAUUAAUCAGUGUCAACCACAAAGACGCCUCUGAUCUCCUUAACCCCAUAACGUUCUGCCCUGGGCCAUUGCUUUGUGUUCCCCAACCAGCACCAAAAUUCCCGAAUUUUUGGGGACCAGAAUGCUUGUGCUGCUUUGCCUGAGAAGAGUUAUCACGCCUCUGCCCUCUACCCCUAUCAGCAGCUGUUGAAGACCCAGGACGCAAGCUGGUGCCACCAGAGACAGAACUUGUGGUUUUCUUCUUAUGAACAUCUUUGGCUACUUUAAAUCCAUGAGACAGAAACUCUUCGUUCUCGCACACUUUGUAAAGCUCCCCAGAAUAGAAGAGACAGUGUUCCAAAGGGACAGGUCUUUUAGUCGUCCUGAUAGAAAAGGUCAUAAAAGAAAAGAAACAAAAUCAAGCAAACGCUCUAUAGAUAUAUUAUAGUGAUAAAAGCUCCGAUCUUAUUUCCGGAAUCAUGGUACGCCCCAGGGGAUUUCAAGAAACAAAGUCAUAUAACUUAAAAACAUUUUUGAAUUAUAAUUUGAAGAAAGCACCACUAACCCAGUCACACGAAUUUGCUUUUGUUUGGUUCGACCAAUCCAGUCUGCAAAUUCAAUUGUGUUUGGUACCUGCAAUGAAAAAAGGAAACAUCUCUUAGAGGCCCUCCUAGAACAAACUCAAGCAUUUGCUUUAAUAGUUCAUAAUUAGAGACCAAUAGUGGGGCUAACAUUUCUUCCCACUGAAGCACCUAUUCAUAUUAUGUCUUCCCAACUUGAGAGCUCCUUUUGACAGGUUUUACUAACCUAUUAUAUGGAGACUGCAGUAGGUUAGAAUCUUUUCCCAUUUUAGUUUCCUCCAAAUACCCACGCUGUGUCAUAAAAGGUUGGGACCUUUCAAUGGUAGCAAUUAAAUCUUUACUGCCAGCAAUUUGCUCGCUGGCAAGUUCCAGAAACUGUCUCCACACAUGAAUACUUACAUAACCCUACGUGCAAUGGUAAAUGACGACUGGCGGAUUGGGACCCACUGUCAAUCCAAGAAAUCGGGUCUCCAUUGAUCUCAAGCUGUAUGCCAAAAGCCCUAAUAUGAUUCCGUACGUUUGCCUUUCUUAUUUCACUGUUUCAUUUCCUUUUUUUCUAGUUUUCAUUAGAUUAAUGUAAAACAAUUAACCAAACGAGGUAAUUGAAGAACUUUUCUAUAAACAAAAGAUAAGCAUAAUGCCAACCUACUACAACCAUGCAAUAGGUUCACGAAGCCCUUUUUUAAAGGGGGGAUUGGGUUCCCACUCCAAUUGGAAGUAAGAUAUCUUGACAUAGUUGUCUUUUUGGUUGAAAUGGUCCAAAAUUUGACAAUGUGGUUUAGACAGCAUGUAGUCCCCAUUGUGCCUAAAUUGAUCUGGGAAAAGGUUACCAAAAGCAAACUCAAGAUGAAAAGUGGGCUCGAUGUGAUAUAUAUAGACAAUUAUCUAAUUAAGCCAAUAUAUAUAUGACGGGGUUGUCCGGGCUAGCUUGCGCAUACCUCUACUAUUCCACCAUGUACCUACUACCCCCCCCCCCCCCAAAAGUAUAGGUACUGAGCCCACCAAGGCUUGGUCAAAUGGGAAGAACUCGCCUAGUUUGCUUUGUCAAUUGAAUCUGGGACCUCAUGGUUCUCCACCCACUUCAUUGACCACUAGCCACACCUUUGGGUGCAGCAAAAAUCUUUCCGUCAUAAAAAAAGAAUUUCUGGAAGAACAUCUCACAUUAACUGACUACUUUUACUUCUAUUUUUGGUUCCUUUCUAAGAGGCGAGAGGGCUCAACUCGAUGAACCUUAAGACUAUGGUCACAACAUACCCACUGUUUUCAAGCCCCAGAGGUAAUAUGAUGGUCCAUUACAAGUUUGAACAUGUUUUUUCUUCUUUGUGGCACCAAAAAAUUUUAACAUUUGUCGGCGGGAUUGGUGAAAGAAGAAAUCAGCAGACUACUGCCAGAUGACAGAUUUUUCAUGCCAAUCUGGUUUCCUAUGUUUACUCUCUCAGCUGUACAUUGUGUCAUAAAACUGCUUUCUGACCAACAACCAAGCACUCAUUACCUUUAAUUAAUAACUGAUCAAGGAGUGUCAUGUCUUGAGAAAGAUAGCUAAUCAACCCUUUUGAAGUGUAAAGAGUUGGAUGACUUGUGAUGACCAAAAAAGUUUUUCAAAUAGUAACAAUGGGAGAGGCCUCUAAUCCAUGACACUACAAUUGUUAUUCGCACAAAGUAUAAUACGCAUCCAUAUGAACUGACUGCUAUCUGUUGACCCUCCAAAAAUAUAAUACUCCCUCCGUUUCAAAAAGAAUGACCUACUUUGACUUGGCACAAAGUUUAAGAAAAUAAAGAAGACUUUUGAAUCUUGUGGCCUUACAUUAAAGUUGUGUCAAAUGUACCAAAAUGUCCUUUAAUCUUGUGGUCCUAUAAAAUGUCAUGUGGAAAGUUGAAAUUAAAGUAUUGCCAAAAAAGGAAAGGGGUCAUUCUUUUUUAAACGGACUAAAAAGGAAAGUUCUUGUUUUAAACGGAGGGAGUAUAUUUUAGAAUAGUAAUCAAGCUCAGAUCAAGCAAAUGUCAAACGCUAACUUUUCUUAGAUAGGCCAAGUGUAAAUGGUUCAAAGGGGCAGUUACUGUAAAUAUGAGUGCCCUGCAUCGACCACAUGUAUAAUUAUACUUUCGUAAAGUGUGCAUAUAAAAGGAAGCAGACAUAAGGCACUGGGCUCAUGCAUUGCCAUAAAUCUUUCUCCAAUGUCUCUAUUUCUCAUAUAUUGAUGCUGAUUGGACAGGGUUCUCUUCUAAUAGACAUUUUACUUAUAGAUAUUGUGUUCUAAUUGGAAACAAUUUAAUAUCCUGAAGAGCAAAAGACCUUGUGGUUACCAGAUCCAAUGCCAAAGUAUUGAACCAUCGCAAUAGCAAUUUGUGAACUCAUACGUAUCAAACAAAUAAUGGAAGGAAUUUAAGUUCAAAGAAACCACUCAGAUAGAACUUGUAUUGUGAGGAUCAAGCUGCACCAUAUAUUGCAUCAAAUCUGAGUUUCAAGAGAGACUCGAAUGCAUAAAAACUGACUUUCACGGAAAAGAUACUUUCAAGAGACGUUGAAACUAGAUUCUUAAUGUCAAGUAAUCAUCCAAAUAUAUUUACCAUGUGUAUCAUUGAAUUAGUUACAUUAACAAGCUUGAGAUAUUCGACCAGUGGGGACCAACUUCAGGUAGAAUGUUAGAUUUGCUAAGUGUAAAUAGUUAGAAGUUGUACUAAUGUACAUAUCAGUGUUCCGCAUUGGACAAACGUGAAGUUAUACGUAGUUAAGUGUAUAUAAGAAAGUGCAGGCGUAAAACAUUUGUCUCACGCAUGCUCACACAUCUUUCUAUUGUGUCUUUAUUUGUCAUACCUUCAUUAAGAGUGCUGAUCCAAAGCACAAAUAAAGUGACUAAAAUAUGAAGACCUACCGUCGCUGAAAGGAGGACAAAGUUGAUAUGUCUUGGGAGCAUAAUAAUAACUUCCUCCCAAACAACACCUCUUUCAACAUCAUUGACAUAAUGCACUUCAUCAAAUAUAACCUAUAUCACAACAAAAAUACCAGUAACCAACCAAAUUAUCUCAAGUACUGGAAAGGCUGUACAAGUGAAACGAGCAGAACUAAAUAUUUAAUAACUUUUUUACCCAUUCUAUAUCCCGAAUCAUAUCAGCCCCUCUAUAAAGCAUUGACCUUAAUAUCUCAGUGGUCAUUAUAAGACAAGAAGCCUCAGGUCUCAAGCUUAUAUCACCUGUGAGAAGGCCAACAUCAAAUUUCCCACAAAAAUCUCUGUAUUUCUGAUUGCUGAUUGUUUUGAUUGGAGCUGUAUAUACAGCCCUGGUACAAUGCUGCAGCACACAAUGUAAAAAAUAUAAAUUAGGUGCAACAACUAUUGACAAAUAAAGACACAAAAAUUGGACAGAAUUGACCCAAAAAAGUUGUAAAGGAACUUAAAAAUAGGAGAUGCAAAAUAGAGAACAUUUUAGUUAUAAGCAAAGAAGAAGAUUCUACAUCAGAUAUCAGAAUAAAAUCCUCGAUAUAUAUUUUUAUAACCAAAAAAAAGAGUCAAAUGGUAUAAAAUUCUUGAUAUCAAGAGAAUUCGUACUUUAGCUGCCAAAGCAAAUGCAUAUUCUGCCACAACAGUCUUCCCAGCAGAUGUAUGAGCAGCAACAAAAACAGAGUUCCCCUUUUCAAGAUGAUAGAUGGCCUGCAAUUAAUGCAAUGAGAAGGACCACAAUUUUUGACAGCUUGACAGGCAUAUAUAUGCCUCAAUGAAAAUGAAAAAGAACACAACAAAUAGUUUCAAGUUUAAAAAUAGAGGAAAAAAAAACUCAACCUAUUAUGUUCAAAAAUAACACUUAGCCAAUCAUGCCAAUGAAACAUCAUUCGACUAAAAUAUGCCCCCAUGAUUGAAAGCAUGUAUUUUCCAUCAUUUUAAGGGACAUGAGAUCAAAUAAAGAAGAGAUAAGCCAAAUUCCAUACGAGAAUUGAGAAUCACUACAUCCACCAUAGAUUUAUACCUCCUUUUGAAAGGGGUCAAGUUCAAAUGGGAAAGUAAGAGCCAUAUCUGGAAUGAGAUCAUGAAAUCGUUCUACAAAUACUUCACUGCCACCAGUAACAGCCCAUCCCUGCAUCAGAUGUGUUGAAAUAAAGCUUAAAGAAAGAUCGCUAUACUUCAUGCAGUACUCAAAAAUGGAGAACUCUUCUUUUACUUAUCAAAAAAGGAAAUUGAUACCUCCGUUAAGCAAGAAAUUAGUGAAGCAUUACCUCAUUCUCUUGACGUGCCCCACCAUUAUCCCCAUCCAAUCUUAAUAUUGAUCCUUCUGCUUCAACAGACAAAAUCUCAUCCAAGACAGAUGUCUCAGUUUCUAAACCCUCAUUAACCACUUCAGACGUGUUUACUUCAGCUUCAACCUGAAGUGGCUCUGGCUUGACAGAUGUCAAUUGUUCUGCUUCAGAUUGCAAUUCAGAUGUAUGACCUAUAUGACAGGCAUAUUAUUAGUUCCUGAGGAAAAUAGUUGCUGGUUUUCCAUUUCGUUAUAACCUAAAACUAAAAAUACAUCUAGAUGGAUUGCUUUCCAUUCACGAUAAGAAAAUUCUUUCAAAUUAAACAUGCAUACUUUGCAGAAGAUGGAGAAUAGCACAGCUAUGAAGAGUUACAAAUCCAAGGAGCAAGAGAAACACUAAGGGUCGUUUGGUUGGGAAAGAUUUAUCCCGGGAUAAUUAUUCCCGGGAUUAGUUAUCCCACCAUGUAUAUGGGAUAACUUAUCCCAUCACUAUAGUCGAAAUGGUGGGACAAAUAAUCCCGGGACAAACCAAGACCUCUACCCAAACAUGAGAUAAAAUAAUCCCACAUUUUAUCCCAAGGGCUACUAUUACUUAUACCUCACACCAAACGACCCCUAACAGCUGCAACUCCGAUGCCAGUUUCCUAGAGUUCUUCCAAAUGGAUAUGCAAGAACAUACCUUAAAUGAGACAGAAUACAAACUGAGAGGACAUGAAAACCAGUUUUUGUCCUCAUUUGGUUCACUUUGAUCUUUGUCUUCUUAGAGAACACACAGAGAAGGUGAUUCUAUCUCUAAUAAUUAAUUUAUUUCACAGUAGCCCAUGAUUCAAAUAUACAUAAGAGUUUGAUAAAUUUGCUAUAAUCUUCCUGUUUCUCCUAUAUUCAACUAGAAGCAUCACUUCUUUUUUGAAAAAUAAAAUUUAGAGAAUGUCGCAAACUAUGAAUAUGUUACUCCACAAUUCAACAUCUCCGUUAAUUUCCAUGGUUACUACUUACUCAUUGAUGAAGUAUGUGGUCAUCUAAUCUAAAAGCUUAAUCUGUCAAAGAAAGCACACUUCAUUUGAAAAGGUAAGGAAGAAUUAUUAAUAAAGCUACCAAAAUGGUAUUAAUAUUCCGUACAAGCAAAAGAACAUGUCCAGUCCUACAUCAGACAAAAAUAAAACAAGUCCAUUGUAUUUAGCAUCCUAGUUACAUAAUUCUAUUUCAAUACAAAAGACUAAAUUCUGAAUACAUCUAUGGUUUAACACAAGAACUGGAAUUCUUUCUGCCUUCAAGACAUCUCUUAUUCCUUUCGGGUAAACUAUCCAUGCAAUACAGACGGGUAUUGGCAUCCACAGUUUCUUCUGUCCUCUCUCGAUCUAAGGUUCCAUCUGAAUUAGUAAAGCACUCAGCAAUUAAGCAUUUCUCGUCCAUAACUAGGCUAAAAAUUGUUGGGAACUGACCCUUAAGGAGUCGAUCAUUGUCCCAUAAAUCUGUCCAGGAGUCGAUCAUUGUCCCAUAAAUCUGUCCAGUUAUAGUUUUCCUCCCAUUAUCGAAUUUCAACUUAAUGCUAUUUCAAAGUCAACCCAUAGAGUCAUGACGCACUUCCAAGCUGCAACCCCAAAGGGAGAACCAACUAUUCUGGGAUCUAUCUUGCCAUAUUUAGUAACAAUGACCCUCUUCCAUAAAGCAUCCUUCCAUCAUUCAACCUCCACAACCAUUUACAUAGAAAACUUUUGUUAUGUAAUGUGAGACUCCUGACUCCAAGUCCACCAUUUUUAUUCCUAGUCACAGACUCCCAUUUUGCCAGAAGAAAUUUUUUGCCUUUCAGCAUUUCCACCAGCUUUUUAACUACAGAUUGAAGAUUUCCAUCCACAAGAUGAACAUCUAUUCUCUUUAAUUCUUUGCCGUACGAAGUUCCUUCUAAGUGAAUCCAAUAAUUUUUUCACCGUGGGAGGUAAGGGGAAAAGCGACGUGACAUAAGUAGAGAGUCCAGGAUGCUAAUUACCAGAACUAUCCUUCCUCCAACCCCACAUCCUUCUCUCUAGCACCCAAUGGUAGUUCCCAAAUGUGUAGUGGUAAAAGCUUCUACUUACAUCGCAGGAUCUCAGAGAACUCAGCAAUAGAAUCCUCUGCAUUAACAGAGAAAACAGUACUUUUGGAUAAGUUAACUUUCAGCCCUGGCACAGCUUCGAACGCCAAAAAAAUGACUAUAGAGCUUGCACCCUGUCUGCUUCACAUAGCAAUAGGGUAUCAUCAGCAUAAAGCACAUGUAAAAAUUUCCUCUCUCUUCCUACUUUGUCAUAUACACAAAAUCCCUUUAUCCAACCUAAACCAGCAUCCAUGAUCAAAACAUUUCACUUAAAGACUUUCGUGACCAAAACAGCCUUAGUACAUGAUGGUGUUAAACGAGCAUUUCACUCUUCUGCUAUGGAAACUGCUUUCCCAAUAAACCGGGGGAAACUGGAAAACCUGAGCUUCAAGGAGGAAUGCAUGGCAUAUAAGCCACAGUAUCCUAAAAUAUUACAUGUUUGCAAUUUAUAUCAGAUAAAGCAAACUAACCCCGUCCUGGCUAAAUUGGCUUUUGGUUAAUCUAGAGAUCUUUGACUACGAAAUCACUCUUCAAACACUAGAAACAUAAAACAAUAAAAAUAAGUGUCUAGGUAAUACAAACCAUCUCCAAUAAACUCCGUGACAUCAUCUUGCCAAGCUUUCUUGAACAAGUCAUCAAACUGCACGGAUAACUCACUCUGCAGAUUGCCAGACAGAAAUAUUUAUCAAAAAAACAGAAGAUGAGGACAAAUUACUUGACACAUGCCCAAGCAAAUCUAACAAGCAGACCUAGGGUGCAUAUAAUCCAUCACAGUUUUUACUUGAAAGAAUGAAAACGUAAAAUUGAAUGUCUCUAUGUCAUAUAAGAAUCUAAGAACACUUGAUUUUAUCGUGGUACUGAUCAGUUUCACCUCUACUGUGUUCGUGACAGCACUCUGAUCCUCAUAUAUAUUCCAAGAGCAUGAAUGUCUCCCCUUGAACAUACAAAUAAGAUGUCUCAGAACGUCUCGUAUACAGAAUGAUAACUUAAUCAAAAGCUCUUCAAUGGUUUAAAAAAAAGUCAAAAGACCUGAAGAUCGCCAAGAUCAGGUCCUUGCUUAAAGCUUGGCGGAGCCGUCUGGGCAGGACCGCCAUUAAGCACCUCCUUUACCCAUUCACCGUUCGUAGCACCAUCAGGAACGACUCUACCCAAUGAAGGGGAAUCAUCCAAGCCACCAGGUCGAAACGGACGAUUGUUGAUGCUUCCUCUAACAAAAUCCUUUGGUGGUCCAACAAUGCGCGGUAGAGCCCCAGAAUCAUCAGCUCCAACUGUAAGUUCUGAUAGAUCUCUCUGAGAAAGUCAGGAAUGAACCAGGAAUUGUCAGGAUUAGAAACAAAAAAAGGAAACUGUCAGAUCCUGAAAUUCUCCAGUGGACUUGGUAUGGAAAGGAAAUGGAAAUCAAUAGUGAAAAUAACUUGUUAAAACAUGAACACUUAAAAGUUGAUAAAAUGAAAAUGCAAAUUCUGUAUACCUCCUCUGACUUCGGCUCCCAUACUCCGUUAUCCAAACUGUCCCUCUGACGUCUAAAAGGAACUUCCCAUUUUGGAACUACAACAGAUCGAGGCAAAGAUGGAUCUGGAAGGAUUUUAGCUCUCUCAAACCAAUCAAACUCCCACUGCCUUCCGGCUUUUUCAGGAGAAAACUCAUCUGCAUCCAGCUGAGGCAAUAGAUACUUCUCCUUGAUAUAUUCCUUUAUUGAUUCAGGUGUUUCCUUUGGAAAUGCAGGUGGCUGAAACAGCAUAAAAUUGAUCGUUUUACUCUUUUAUUUUUAACAGGAAUGGGUAUAAAAUUUGAUAUGGAGCAAGUAUUUGGAGUUAAAAAUUCUAAAUAUUAAACAUCAAGUAGAGAUGUCAUUAUAAGGGAGGUUAACGAAAGGUAAUGAUGACUGAAGUUAUUCAUAAAAAAGGGCAGCCCGGUGCAUUAUGCGCAGUGUCCGGGGAAGGGCCCCACCACAAGGGUGUAUCGCACGCAGCCUUACCUUGCAUUUCUGCCGGAGGCUGUUUCCAAGGCUUGAACCCGUGACCUCCUGGUCACAUGGCAGCAACUGAAGUUAUUCAUAUAACCGGAAAUAUUAAGAAUGGAUAUGCUGCUAGUAUAUGAAAUUUAAACAAAAACUUGAAAUGUCCUUGGAAUUAUUGGUAGCAGUUCAAAGAGCAAUCAACCAAUCAACUAUGCUUCACUCCCAGAUUAGCCGGUACCAGAAUCCUUUGUAUUCAUUAAUCUCAAUUCAGGUACAUUAUCGUUAAAUGCAAAAUAAUUUAAUUAUUUACCUCAUAAAAAAAUGCAAAAUAAUUUGUCUUUUAUGAAAAGUUGGGGACUGUCUUAAAAAUAAAGCUUUUUCAAAUAUCCCACUUAUAAUAUAGUCAAAAGCCAAAAGCUAGAUUAAGAAUUAAGAUGAUAGAGCCAAAACAUUUACAGGCUUUAAUUAAGGGAUCACAGAAAAGAGAGAAAAGUUUACAGGGUGUUAAUUAUUACUGCAAAAGCAGAUUAGAGGGAGAAAGACAAUCGAAUUAGGACCAGCGCAAAGUUUGAUAUCUAUGAAUUCUGAAAACAACAUAUCACUUGUUAUUAAGUAGAUAUCAAGAAUUUGGUGGGUCCUUGCUCGGUUUGAUUAUAUGGACUUGAUUAUCCAUCCAAAUCAAGAGAACAUUUUUUCUGCUAACCAAUUUAGACAACCAAUAAUAAUAAACAGAAGUUGGAUCCCUGGCUAUAAAGGGGAGCUUUGGAGUAACGGGUAAAGUUGUUUCCAUGUGACCAACAGGUCACUGGUUCAAACCUUGGAGAAACAACCUUUGGCAAAAAUGCAAGGUAAGGUUGCGUACAAUAGAUCCUUGUGGUCGGGCCCUUCCCCGGACCCCACGCAUGCACCGAGCUGGCCUUUUUUUUUCUUGUGUUUGGGGGGGGGCUUCUUUGGAACAAAUACAAUAACAACAAACCCAGUGUAUUCCUACAUAGUGAGGUCUGGGGAGGAUAAGAUAU
rnacentral:lncRNA from 1 species